UACGAAAGGGGCUAGCGUUGUUCGGAAUUACUGGGCGUAAAGCGUGCGUAGGUGGUUUGUUAAGUCUGAUGUGAAAGCCCUGGGCUCAACCUGGGAAUGGCAUUGGAUACUGGCUUACUAGAGUGCGGUAGAGGGAUGCGGAAUUUCCGGUGUAGCGGUGAAAUGCGUAGAGAUCGGAAGGAACAUCUGUGGCGAAGGCGGCAUCCUGGACCAGCACUGACACUGAGGCACGAAAGCGUGGGGAGCAAACAGG
rnacentral:rRNA from 1 species